rfam:Brachypodium distachyon strain Bd21 chromosome 1, whole genome shotgun sequence.
UUAGUACUCUCUCCGUACAACAAAAGAUGUUUUAAGUUUGUCAAAAUUUAGAUGUAUUUAGACAUGACUUAGUGUACAAAUGCAUUCAAAUUUGAUCAAAGUUGAGACAUUCUUUGUUGGACGGAGGGAGUACAAA